CAUUUGUUUAUCAGCUUUUUCAAUUUGUUUUGAAAUUUCAGAAGGAUACUAUCCCACAGAGGAUGGCAAACCUUAUUUCUUCAGGUACUUAAGGCUUUUGUUUGCUUAUAUAUUCCUACUGGGAAUUUUUAUGAAAUUAGAAAGAAGAGAAUCCACACUUUUUUGUCAAGUUUCAUGAUCCUGCAUGGUUGGUGGAAGCUACAAAACAUUGCUAUCUGUCCCUAAUGUAAGGCAGUGUGAGCCUGGAUGUACCAAAUAAGCACAUUUAUUGACGAUAAAAGCACAAAUAUCACAGUUAUUUUUCAGAAGGAUAUCAACAUUAUACUAUUUUUUUU